UACGGGGGGGGCAAGCGUUGUUCGGAAUUACUGGGCGUAAAGGGCGCGUAGGCGGCCUGCUAAGUCACACGUGAAAUCCCUCGGCUCAACCGGGGAACUGCGUGUGAUACUGGCGGGCUUGAAUUCGGGAGAGGGAUGUGGAAUUCCAGGUGUAGCGGUGAAAUGCGUAGAUAUCUGGAGGAAUACCGGUGGCGAAGGCGGCAUCCUGGACCGGCAUUGACGCUGAGUGAGCGAAAGCUAGGGGAGCAAACGGG
rnacentral:rRNA from 1 species